GCUACCUACGGGGCGCAGCAGUGGGGAAUAUUGCACAAUGGGGGAAACCCUGAUGCAGCAACGCCGCGUGAGUGAAGAAGUAUCUCGGUAUGUAAAGCCCUAUCAGCAGGGAAGAACAAUGACGGUACCUGACUAAGAAGCACCGGCUAAAUACGUGCCAGCAGCCGCGGUAAUACGUAUGGUGCAAGCGUUAUCCGGAUUUACUGGGUGUAAAGGGAGCGCAGGCGGCGCGUUAAGCCUGGUGUGAAAGCCCGCGGCCCAACCGCGGGACUGCAUUGGGAAC
rnacentral:rRNA from 1 species